CCUUCUCUGCCAUGUUCGUGUUGUCGGUGUGAUUUUUUGGGGAGCCGAUAAGAGGUCCGCUGGGAACUUAUUAUGGUUUUGGCUGCGUGUAUAGCCGGAGGGUCUUCCCACCGGAUCACACAACCCGAAACCCAGGUUCCCCCUUUAUGACUGCGGGCUCUCACAAAACUCAUCGCCACGGCAUUGCGGUGGAGGAGUU
rnacentral:other from 1 species